rnacentral:rRNA from 1 species
GACGAACGCUGGCGGCGUGCCUAACACAUGCAAGUUGAGCGACGAACCCGGGCUUGCCCUGGGGCAAAGCAGCGAACGGGUGAGUAACACGUUGUUAACCUACCCCAAUAACCGGGACAACCCGUGGAAACUCGGGCUAAUACCGGAGGUGCUCACUGGUCCUCGGUUCAGUGCGUGAAGGAAGCUUCGGACUCCGUAGCGGGAGGGGCCCGCGACGCAUUGGUUUGUUGGUGACGUCACGGCUCACCAAGACCGCGAGGGGUAGCUGGUCUGAGCGGACGGUCAGCCACACGGGCACUGAGACACGGCAGCGACUCCUGGGGGAGGCAGCGGCGGGGAAUCCUGCGCAAUGCGGGAGAGCGGGACGCAGCAACGCGGGGGGGGGGAAGAAGGCCCUCGGGUGGGAGACCCCUGUCGGGAGGGAGGAAGGUACGGCGGUGUAUAGCCGUCCGGACUGACGGUACCUCAAGAAGAAGCCCCGGCUAACUACGUG